AGCAGCCCCGGCUACCAGUCAUCCUACCAAGUAGGGAUCAACCAGCGGUUCCAUGCAGCGCGGCACAAAUUUCAGUCCCAAGCAGAUCAGGACCAACAGGCCAGUGGUCUGCAGAGCCCUCCAUCCAGGGACCUGUCUCCCACGCUCAUAGACAACUCUGCCGCCAAGCAGCAGGCCCGCAACACAGUCACUCAGGUGCUCUCCAGGUUCACUAGCCAGCAAGGGCCGAUCAAGCCCGUCUCCCCCAACAGCUCUCCCUUUGGCACAGACUAUCGGAAUCUGGCCAGCACUGCCACCUCGAGAGGGGACACCAGCCAUUCCCCUACUCCAGGGAAAGUGUCCAGUCCACUGAGCCCUCUGUCUCCAGGGAUCAAGUCCCCCACCAUCCCCAGAGCUGAGAGAGGACACCCGCCUCCCAUCCCACCCAAAAAACCGGGCCUCACUCCCUCUCCAUCCACUACCACUCCAUUGACCAAAACCCCUUCCCAGGCCUCCUCCUUGGCCGCCGCAGAAGACCUAGCUGGCAGCUGCUGUUCAAAUGCCGUUGUGGCUAACGGCAAGGACGUCGAGAUCCUUCUGCCUACCAGCAGCUAGUCCCUAGCGGGAGGCUCCACGUCUGACAUUCCACCAGAUUUCGUCCAAGAGCUCAGAGUCAAACCGUUGAGUCAGAUCAUGUUAUUUAUUUUGAUAGUAGCUGAAACCAUCUGUAUAAUACAUGUAGUGUGUUUCACCUUUUUGUAUUUUUUUAAGUAGAAACCGAGUAGUUUGGAUUUGUAUGACUCACACCUUUGUACUAACGCGGGAAGGGCACCUCAAAGACAUCUCCAGCUCGGCAGUCACCGACCUGUUGUGAUGGAGAAAGCUAAUUGAGUACCAGGUGGUGAUUUGCUAUUUUGGGACUAGAAUCACUCAACACUCAUUUUGAAUUAUGCAGAAAGUGGUUCGUGUAAAUUUUUAUUCCAGAUGAACGUGUUUAAAAAGUGCCUGAAAUAAGACUGCCAUAUGAAUGUGAUUCUGCAGCGAAAACACAAAACGGAUCAUCUAAUUGCAGAAAAUGAGAUCCUCCGUGAAUCCUGAAUGUUAAAAACCAACACUGCUUUUAAUCCUCUUUUGCUGUUUUUAAUAUAAGCUGUGUCCAGAAACAAGGCUGCAUCAGUAGGAUGGGAAUCCUGAAGGUGGUUGUGGACUCCCCACAAAGCUGAGCUUUAUAGAGCCCUUGAGAAACCCUCCUGAGCAGUAAGCAGCUGGGGUGCCGGUUUUCUUGUACUUCUGAAAAAUUAAGUCACUCCAAGUUUCCUGCAUAAAUUCUUGAAUGGAAUGAAAUCACAUCUCCUUUCAAAAAAUGUCUUCGGGCAUCUACUGUUGUGUAAGGAACUUCUGAUUCCAGUCGCUAUUACUUGAAUAGAAAAUGGCUACUCAUUCUGUAUAAAAGUUUUUCAACAGAAUGAGAUCUUUAUUCUGUAAUCAAAAAGCAAUAACUGAAAAGUCACUCUCUUUGUAAUAUUAUAAGUCAGAAUUAUACAGGUUUUACCAAUAUUAUUACACUUCUUCUCCGAGCUGCCAACACUUGGUGUCUAUAUCUGUGGAACCAAAUUAACUUUUCCCUAAAUGGAAGAAUGUGUGUAUGAAUGUAUAUACAUAUACAUAUAUAUAUGUGUAUAGAUACACACCCCUUUACGUGUUUAACAUACACACACUUAAACACACAAAUAUUAGCGUGAUUCUAUCUUUGGAGUUUGCAAUAUAGCAUAAAGGACGAGUAGACAUGCACAUUAAGAUUACCUGUCACAGCAACUAGAUGCAGCUGGGACCCAAUCAGUCAAAGGAGGAACCUUGUCCACAGGGACGUGGGGAAAUUCCAAAUGAAGUCAGGUCUUCAGCAUCACGAAAAACCAGAGCCAAACUCACCCCAGCAUCACAAAACUCCACUGGCCAAAUGAAUGAGUGAAACAGGUCACUCAAUCAAGCGCUGUAAGACAGCCAGGAGAGGGGGAGCUGUAGCAAACGGAAGUGCCCAGGCCCCCUGUGAAAGGAAAGGGCCACCCCUGUUGAGCUCCAGCUGCUUGCUGCCGUGUGAUAGUGUUAGCCCAGGGUUACCAGCUCCUCAAAUUUGGGGGAAAGCCAGAUUUUCAUAGAAACAUUCUCAUUUUUAAAUAUCAAAACAGAUUCAAAAACAAUUUUAAACUUCUGGUUAAACACUUGUGCAGCUGGGUUUAGCUCAGAAGCUGACAAGUUGCAACCUCAUUCGUUCUAGAAACUUCCAUCAUUUGCAUCGUUGUGAGUUUGUGAGGACAGACACCUCCACUCUCCAACUUGUAGGCUAGUACAGCUGACAGAGGCUAUAGAAUAUAAUGAGGAUCCUCGUCUUCCAAACAAGACUUUGCAACCCAGCUCAAACAAGGUGGUUAUAUGAUUUGUCCACGGAUGGAGAGGCCUUGGUGUCCUCACAUACAUUCUCCCUAGCCAGUGUCUACCCAGAAGCCCUGCCCUGCUAUAAUUUGAAUCUACUUCUUCCCAAUCCAAUAUGAAUUGAUGGGGGGACAGGCAGGUGAUGGAAAUCAAUGUAUAAAUCACAAUUGGUGUCUCCAGGGCUUACGGUCUGAUUAAGGCCAAUACAGAAAAAAAUUAAAAUACUACUAAUGGCCCAGGGCAUCUACCAAAUGAUGAAGGUGGUAUCUCAGAAAUCGCCCAAAGCGAUCAUGCAUGAAAUUUUAUUCCCACGCAUAGCCAAAUGAAGUGUUGAUGAUAAAAUAGCUGAACUUUUUAAACAGGAGAGGGGGCUAUAGCCCCAGAGUUUUAUUACCUCUCUUGCUUUAAAUGGUAAUCUUAAAAGUUGCAUUGUGCUCUUCCUUUGUUUUGGCAUAGAUAUAUAUAUAUAGAGAGAAAUACUAUAAGGAGGUUUAUUUCUUAGGAAAUGCACUGAAUAAUGUAUUUCUUUUACAGUGUAAUAUGGGGGUGGGGGAAAUGCAAAAGAAAUGUGUAUUUUUGCUAGUUGCCUAUCUUCUAAGAUAAAUAAGCACAAUAUUGCAAUGGAUCCAAUACUCCAGUUAGGUAUUCUAGAUUAGUAUUUAAAUUUGCUGUAGAUUGUGUGUGUGCUAAGUAAAAGUUCCAUGAUUCACAAUUUCGGUAUUAACCCAUGUUGUGAAAGCUGUGUUACUACUCAACAGAUUAUAAUGGAUGUGCGACACAUAACACAAGCAUUAACUAAAUCGUUUGUAAAGCCAAAUGUACCAUGCAGAAGUCUUCAUCCACUUUUAUAGCAGACUACAUUAAAACAAGUUAAAUCAUUCUGUCUGGGGAAAAUCUAGUCUUGUUUGUACAAAGUGAAGGAUGUUGCACAACAGGGCCUGUUUUGUUGGGGAAGGAGCAGGUGGUGUAGAGGAAGCACUCGUCUGUGGCUUUCAAAAACCCAAGUGAAGUCAGUGACCCAUCCAGGUUAGACUCCAAAAGGAGCUGGCAUAUUGGUUUUCUUUAGAACCUUAGAGCUGGAAGAAGCCUUGGCAAUAAUCCAGUCUGUACUUUUCAAACCCUGGGGUGGGGGGGGGGGGGGGGGGGGGGGGGGGCGGUCUGGACCUGAGAAUCUGAAAAAAGCUAGGCACCAUCCCCAGACAAAUGGAUAUACUAGUAUGUAGAGUUUGGUUGAUGGCUUCACAGGAUCCAAAGACCCUGCAGCCAUCCAUGAUUCACGUACUCUAGCUUAAGAACGCCUGAUCUUGUCGUGCCCUCUCAUUUUACAGGUGACUAUCAAAUCCCUCAUCGCUCCUCUUAGUCCAGUGCUGUUGUGCUACAUCGUUAGCAAGUGAGAGCUGUAGGCAGACAAAAGCACUUGAAAAUCUUGUGACGUUCAAACAAUAUGGAUGUUUGCAUAUGUUAAGUCUCUAGCAUUUAAGCCAAUUAAUGAUCAUUUCAACAAACACUGGGUAUGUCUUCCCGGAACAGCCUCACUGUCAGUAAUGCUGCCUUGUCUUCCCGGGUGGUCCGUCAUGCCUUGGGUGUGGUUUGCUCCUCUCCCCUUUCUACACUUAGAGCAUCCCUCCCUCCCACAGACAGUCCUGCAGGUCCUGCAGUGCAGGUCUGUUUGGCUCUAGACCGUGUCUCUACCUUUCCUACCCUCUUGGAGGUGGCCUCUUCUCUGCAUUUAGCAGUGGAGAGUAUUCUGCCAGUCUUUGGGUCAUUUUCUGGGUUAUUUAUACUGCUAUGGAUGUUAUCUAGGUGUAUCUGUGGGACGAAGUGAGCUUUAGGACCGUCUUGCUCCGCCAUGUUCCCCAGAAGUAGCAAUGCUGCCUUGUCAAUUAAUUUAUAAGCAGCUCUUCAGAUGCUUGGUCUUUGAAACAGAACUUUAAAUGUCUUGAAAUGCUGGCUUCAAAAUAGGAUCUGUUCUUAUAAAUUCUGAGUCCGAAGUAAGCAAUGAGCAUUGUUUCACGGGAGUAAUUUUCAUGUAAUUGCUGUAAAGCCAGCUGACAAAACUUAAGAGCACCCAUCUCCUGCUUGCAUAUCAAUGGCCAAUUCAUUGGUAAAAGCAAAGGAGAAAGAAGACUGGGCUAGCUGUUCCCAAACCUUACUGUAACCUGCGAAGCCUUCUAAGAUAAGGACUCCUGAGGACUGGGCCUAGGGGCCUGCUAAUGCAGGUGGUCUGAGGCUCGAUCUUGAGAAACAGUGCCUCAUUGCCCUUACCUGUUCUUUCACAAGAACUUUUCCUCUGACCUGAGGUGAUGUCUUAAACUCCUGAAUCUGGUUUGCCAGAAUGUCAGUGAUAUUCAGAGCCUAGAGUACUUACUUGGGUCCCAGCACUGUGUUAUCACCCAUGUGCAGAUGAGGUCGUUGAGAACCAGAGAUUGGUGUAAGGGCCCUUGGUGAGUGACAGCAUGGAUUAAGCCCCUGGUGCUUCCCACUUUCCACUACUUGUGUUUCCCAAAUGAGUAUCUCCUGAGGUGCUUGUUGGCCAGGCCCAGGCCCCGCCCUGGGAAUUCUGAUUCAGUAAUCCAAGGUGGGGCUCUAAGAUGAGUGCCUGGGCUGAUUCUAAGGCUGGACCAGGUGGAACCCUAUAAGACACCACACAGCUCUUCCCACUGGCCCUAACAACCCCCACCCCCAGGAGUGGUUCUCAGACCUAACCAACGCCAGGAGACCUUUCUCAGGUCAGAUAUGCUGAACAAAAAGCAUCUUUCUUGUUAAUUCCCCUCAAGCAACCAAUGUUUCUUAAAUAUUUAAGAUGAGCCAGAAAGGUAGCUAUUAUGGAAAACACACGUUGAACUGUGUUCCCUGCCCUCAGGGUACUCAUCUUCUAGUUGGGCAAAGCAAAACAUUAACACACGAAAUGUUAACAGAGACAACUGAAUUAUGUAAGUGGGGUUUAAAUGCCAUAUAGGGUUAUUGAAGGUAAUUCUGGCAAAAGCGUUAUGGUAGCACACAGAGCUCUUUGUGGGCAGAUAAAAAGUUAACUAGAAAAGGAGCAAAUGUCUUUUCUCCUCUCUCCAAAGCCCUGGUUUACCUAGGGUUCUGCAGUAUCUCCCUGUGUUUGCAUGAUGCUUCAGUUGGCUUGUCUUAGUCUUAGGAUGUGGUCAGAGACAGAGGCACUGGAAGUCCCCAAGAACUGAGUCCUGUUUCAGGGAGACUGACAGACACCAGUGUGGUGUGCUUUCUGCAAAGACUUGGGGCUGGUGUAAGAAGGAGCCCCCAGGGCACAGCAUCUGCAAAACAUUCCCAAGUAACUUGUAGGGAAAACCUAGGAAAAGGCAAAUAGAGAAAGGACCUCCUUGCAAAAAUCCUGCAUUACCCACAAGUGUUCCCUCUUACCCUCAAAAUCUCCACAAGCAAAGGAGAGAAAUGAAAACCAAACUUUGAAAAGAGCCAAAUGACCUGUGCCUGGGUGGCUCAGUCAGUUAAACGUCCCGACUUCGGCUCAGGUUAUGAUCUCACGGUUCGAGGGUUCGAGCCCUGCAUCUGGCUCUGUGCUGAGAGCUCAGAGCCUGGAGCCUGCUUCUUAUUCUGUAUCUCUCUCUCUGUGUCUCUGCCCCCUCUGCAGCUCAUGCUCUCUCUCUCUCUCGCAAAAAUAAAUAAACAUUUGAAAAAAAGAAUUUUUUUUAAGUCAAAUGAAUCCUUCUGGGACACCUGCAAGUGACUUCUUGCCUUGGAGGGAUAUAAAAGCAACUUCUCCUCUUCUCCCCAUAGCGUGAAUGUUCAUGCUGCCAUCACACCGGAGAGCACACGGAGUAUCAUGAGGCUCUCUCUGUGCCGCUGUGAAAUGGUUGCCUCUGAGAAAUUACUGAG
rnacentral:lncRNA from 1 species